AAUUCUAAAUAUUGCUCAGAAAGAGAAAUGCAUUUACAUGACUAUUGCAUAAUCUGCCUACUGCCAAAGUCAGUUCGAUAUCUAAUUAUUAGUGGGCAUGUACCUACUCAGUGGCGGCCACCUGUGCUAAUUAGCGAUCUAACAUUCUCCGAACAACUGUGUGUAAGUGUAACUGGGGAGGAAGUGUAGUGCAUCAACUGAAGGCAUGCAGCUUGUGGAUCUGUGCAAAACUGCUACAGAGAAGUCUUCCCUCACUCCCCAUCCACCCCCAUGAAACAACACCUCUGAUAAGGGUGUCUAUGUGAUUUUUGCACUUGCAUAGGAGAGGAGACGGAGUGAUUCCAACGGCACUUGACACCCAGCGGGGCAAGGUGGUCACUGACCUGGAUGACUUUCAAG